ensembl:lncRNA
AGAGAGCAGAGCAGAGCGUGACAUUAGCUCUGCACUGAUGACAGCUUUUCACCACCUUGUACUUCUGAGUACUUUCCUCGGAGGAAGCCAGAGACAUAUGAGGUGAAAAUCAUUUCAGCCUGAAGACACUGCAAUUGAACCUCUCACAAGUCAAGUCACUGAGAGUUUAAAAAAAGAAAAAGUAGAACUGAAAUCUGGUGGUACCAGCCACACGGUGAAUGCAGGUCAGAAAGAGGAAGUGGGCUUUGAGAAGGGCCUUCUCUGCAGCAUUGUCUGCGAACUGUGCGCAAAACCUCCAUUUCCUCUUUCGCUCAAUAUCUUCAGCAAAAUGGUACAAUGCAAUGCAAGAGUUUUCCGAUGCGGAUUACAA